UGGUCGGGAUAGCUCAGCUGGUAG
rnacentral:tRNA from 1 species